GCUUCCGUAGCUCAGUUGGUCAGAGCGCCGCACUCGUAAUGCGGAGGUCCCGAGUUCAAUCCUCGGCGGAAGCU
rnacentral:tRNA from 1 species